rnacentral:rRNA from 1 species
GAAACGACUGCUAAUACCGCAUAAGCGCACAGCUUCGCAUGAAGCAGUGUGAAAAACUCCGGUGGUACAAGAUGGACCCGCGUCUGAUUAGCUGGUUGGUGAGGUAACGGCCCACCAAGGCGACGAUCAGUAGCCGGCCUGAGAGGGUGAACGGCCACAUUGGGACUGAGACACGGCCCAAACUCCUACGGGAGGCAGCAGUGGGGAAUAUUGCACAAUGGGGGAAACCCUGAUGCAGCAACGCCGCGUGAGUGAAGAAGUAUUUCGGUAUGUAAAGCUCUAUCAGCAGGAAAGAAAAUGACGGUACCUGACUAAGAAGCCCCGGCUAACUACGUGCCAGCAGCCGCGGUAAUACGUAGGGGGCAAGCGUUAUCCGGAUUUACUGGGUGUAAAGGGAGCGUAGACGGUUUUGCAAGUCUGAAGUGAAAGCCCGGGGCUUAACCCCGGGACUGCUUUGGAAACUGUAGGACUAGAGUGCAGGAGAGGUAAGUGGAAUUCCUAGUGUAGCGGUGAAAUGCGUAGAUAUUAGGAGGAACACCAGUGGCGAAGGCGGCUUACUGGACUGUAACUGACGUUGAGGCUCGAAAGCGUGGGGAGCAAACAGGAUUAGAUACCCUGGUAGUCCACGCCGUAAACGAUGAUUGCUAGGUGUUGGUGGGUAUGACCCAUCGGUGCC